UAGGGAAUCUUCGGCAAUGGACGAAAGUCUGACCGAUCAACGCCGCGUGAGUGAAGAAGGUUUUCGGAUCGUAAAACUCUGUUGUUAGAGAAGAACAAGGACGUUAGUAACUGAACGUCCCCUGACGGUAUCUAACCAGAAAGCCACGGCUAACUACGUGCCAGCAGCCGCGGUAAUACGUAGGUGGCAAGCGUUGUCCGGAUUUAUUGGGCGUAAAGCGAGCGCAGGCGGUUUCUUAAGUCUGAUGUGAAAGCCCCCGGCUCAACCGGGGAGGGUCAUUGGAAACUGGGAGACUUGAGUGCAGAAGAGGAGAGUGGAAUUCCAUGUGUAGCGGUGAAAUGCGUAGAUAUAUGGAGGAACACCAGUGGCGAAGGCGGCUCUCUGGUCUGUAACUGACGCUGAGGCUCGAAAGCGUGGGGAGCAAACAGG
rnacentral:rRNA from 2 species